rnacentral:rRNA from 1 species
GACGGACGCUGGCGGCGUGCCUAACACAUGCAAGUCGAACGGGCCUUGUCCCCUUUUUUUUUGGGGGUGGGGUUAGUGGCGAACGGGUGAGUAACACGUGAGUAACCUGCCCCUCACUUCUGGAUAACCGCUUGAAAGGGUGGCUAAUACGGGGUGUUCUGGCCUGCUCGCAUGGGUGGGUUUGGAAAGAUUCGACCGGUUUUGGUUGUUUUGGUGGGGGAUGGGCUCGCGGCCUAUCAGCUUGUUGGUGGGGUGAUGGCCUGCCAAGGCUUUGACGGGUAGCCGGCCUGAGAGGGUGGGCGGUCACACUGGGACUGAGACACGGCCCAGACUCCUACGGGAGGCAGCAGUGGGGAAUAUUGCACAAUGGGCGCAAGCCUGAUGCAGCGACGCCGCGUGAGGGAUGGAGGCCUUCGGGUUGUGAACCUCUUUCGCCAGUGAAGAAGGUCCUGCUCUUUGUGGUGGGGUUGACGGUAGCUGGGUUAAUGAAGCGCCGGCUAACUACGUG